UCACUGCCCCCAAUAAAGAUGGUGACGGUCACACGGGCCGAUCGCCAUCUGAGGCGUUGAUUUGUUUUCUGCAAACGUGAGUCUGGGAGUUUCAAAUGGGUGUGUUUUCCGACGUGCACUAACUGUUUGUAAAACUUCCAAACCCAUACGAAUAUCACUUCCCUCCAGCUUUCUACCGUUUUGCUUUCUUUACUGUGGCCUGCUCUUACCUCAAUUGCACAAAUCUUGGUCUCAGCGAAGGAUCUAGGCCCGAAACGUCAGCUUUCCUGCUCCUCUGAUGCUGCUUGACCUGCUGUGCACAUCCAGCUGCACACCGUGUUAUCUCGGAUUCUCCAGCAUCUGCAGUUCCGGUUAUCUCAGCGACUCUGCACCGCACUCGUGGAUGAUCACGUGGUUUUCACUGAUCCCGCCCUCCCUUCAUUCCGAUUGGGCGAUAUCCGUCCGGUCAUGCACGGCACACCUGUGCUCCUAUUGGUCGCGCACUGACAUCAAUCAGCCAGACUUCACCGUGAGCUGGAGCAUGCGCAGUGCUUUGUGUUAUUGUUGGAAGCAAAUGAACGUCGUCGCAAUGUUGCAUUUUGAGACGAAUGAGACUGAAAACCGGAUCUGUCUUUUUACCUUCACAGAUGCUGCCAGACCUGCUGAGCUUUUCCAGCAACUUUGUUUUUGUUCCUGAUUGACAACAUCCCAGUUCUUUUGUUAUUUUUUAAUAAGUCGCGAUUGAAAAGGCUUCCUGCAGCUCAAAGCUAAAGGUUUGACGAUACUUCACCUUUCUCAUUCCUCAGACUCCAACCCACUUUGAUUCUGAAAGAUUUGACUGUUAUUUCCGGUCAGUCAGCUUGCCGAAGCAGUCAGAUUUCCGUCAUACUACUCUGAAUAAAAAUGGCAUCAGGAGAUGAGCUUCCAUCACAUCUCACUGUCGAUACCUCCAACGUUCAAAUUCUUAACUCUGAGACCUCAAAAAGACUCGUCGAAAAUUUUGUAAUCGCUCUCAUGAACAAGGAGCGUUUCUACAUCCGCACAUUCUUUUCGACAUACAAAGCAUAUACCACUGCUGAAAGUGUGUUGUACAUCCUCCUGGACA